rnacentral:siRNA from 1 species
UAGAGUUAGAAGGGUGAAUGGUA